rnacentral:lncRNA from 1 species
CUCUCCUGUUGAUUAAUCAAUGUUUAGUUGUCUUUUUUAAUCCAUCAAUGUAUUUUUCAUGAACCUUUUUUUUUAAUAGCUGUAUUAGCUAUUUGGAAGAAAUCUCCCAGUGAUAUCAAUGGGAGUAUCGAUGCAACAAGGACUUCAGGAGACUGGGAUUUUGAACAAUCCAUAAGAAAUGUUGUGAAAAUAACCCAUUGCUUAGCUGCAAGCCAACAGAGCAAGGGAAAUGCUGUGAAGUCAUUCUGAGAGAACCACAUGCCUCUAGUUCCAGACACCAAUACAGUGGUCAUUCACCUAAGUCCAUGGGCAGGAAGUCCUGAAUGUAGAAAACAACCCACUCUGCGGAGCCUACAGACAACAGGAGCAUUUUAGAUGACCUUUACAAGUAACAAAGAAAGGACUAGAAUCAAAGGUACAAGACUCCCAGGUGUUUGUUGGCCCACACUUCACCUGCUUCAGAGGAAGAAAUUUCUGCCUUUCCUUUGGCUGGCAGCAGAUCAGAUGGAAACUGCCGGGCAGCCUCAUACUGAUGUUUUCUGCUUCCAACAUAGGUUGCUUUGUGAUACAGAUGUUCACAGGACCGUAUGGUACACGUAUAAUAUCUUCUGACAAGUAUUAGGAAAAAUGUUGCUUUGGAGAGGGAAGAAAGUCCAGCCAUUGUUAUUAAUCAGUGCAUUUCUAGUUUGACAAAUGCCUUUAAAAGUAUCAUGGAAUGCUAUACCUCUACACUUUUUUCACUCAAUGAUUUUCGUACCCUGUUAAUUUACAAGUGAAAACAUAUUUUUGGAAUAUCUACUGGGAUCUGGAAAUCAAGCUAUGUUUUGUCUUAUUAUGCAAAAUCCCCAAGAACAUAGUAUGCUGCACAAUGACACCUUCCCACCCACUAAAAACUGCUACCUUAAUGACUACCCCAAAAUUUUAGUUGUCUCUCCCCUCUCCCCCAUCUACUGGUCAGCAAAAGACUAGAAGAAUAAACAAACGGUUAGCAAAAAAAAUGCA